UUGUUGCAUAAGAUCAUAUUACUUCUUAAGUGAAAAAAAUCUGUAAGAAAGCUCAGAGCCCAAAGCUGAGGAGUUACUUUCCCAUUCUGAGCUACAACAAAGGUCAAUGAGCAGGGCUUGAGGUUAGUUCAAGAGAUGGGAUGCCGUAUCUAUAGAAUAAGAGUCAUAGCAACGAUUGGAGAUUCUAAGGCUGCACAUAUGACUGAAUACAUGGAGCAAAAGCUGGACAGCUGAAGGGACACUGUGAUGUACUUUAAGCUCCUUAAAUAAAUGAAUGGAAUGUUCUAAAGUUCUGGGUGGGACUGUGUAAGCUACGCUCCUAAAAAGAAAUCAAUAUUGAGGCCCAGCACAAGGCUGAAGAAAAAGGAGAUGGCACUUCCUACUGUCUAGACUUGGC